CCCUUCGGGGACAAAGUGACAGGUGGUGCAUGGUUGUCGUCAGCUCGUGUCGUGAGAUGUUGGGUUAAGUCCCGCAACGAGCGCAACCCUUGAUUUUAGUUGCCAGCAUUUAGUUGGGCACUCUAAAGUGACUGCCGGUGCAAGCCGGAGGAAGGUGGGGAUGACGUCAAAUCAUCAUGCCCCUUAUGACCUGGGCUACACACGUGCUACAAUGGAUAGUACAAAGGGUCGCGAAGCCGCGAGGUGGAGCUAAUCCCAUAAAACUAUUCUCAGUUCGGAUUGUAGGCUGCAACUCGCCUACAUGAAGCCGGAAUCGCUAGUAAUCGUGGAUCAGCAUGCCACGGUGAAUACGUUCCCGGGCCUUGUACACACCG
rnacentral:rRNA from 1 species